rnacentral:misc_RNA from 1 species
GAACAAUUUGAAGACAAGAUGACGGUGGAUGAUGUGUAUCUGUCCUUCCUCCCCUUGGCUCACAUCCUUGAUCGAAUGAUUGAAGAAUACUUUUUCCACAAGGGAGCCGCUGUGGGCUACUAUCAAGGGGAUAUUAGUGCAAUAAGGGAUGAUCUCAUGGAAUUGAAGCCAACGCUCUUUGCUGGCGUCCCACGAGUUUUUGAAAGAGUGCAUGAAGGUAUAUUGAAGGCAUUAGCAG